UCCUACUUUCUCUCCCUGCCGUCCAGAUUUCUAAUUUGGCAUGGAGGCUGAUCCAGGAGCAAAAUUCCCCCACAGUAGGACCUACCUCAGGUUUAAGGAAGCCAAUCUCCUAGGAAAGGUGACCUCCAGCCCUAAAAAGGAUCUACCCAGCCUGUCUAAAGAAGAUUCUCCAUUCCGAAGGGUACGAAAAAAGACUGAGGCCCAGCCCAAGAGCUCAGGGAGGGAUUUAGGAAGUGAAGAGCUCAUAAUGAAUGGCUAUUCUUGGGUUUUGGUUCCGAGGCAGAAAAUCUGGGGGGUCUUAUUUCUGGGAGGGGGGGGGACAGGAUAAUGAACUAAAAACCAAAUCAAUGACUAUAAUUCACACAUGUGCAUAGUGUCUUCCCCAGCUUCCCAGAUGAGCUCAUUGACAAUCACCAUGAGUAGGGAGGGGAAGACAUUAAUGUUCCCAUUUAAUGGGGAGAAACUGAGGCACAAAGAGGGACUGUGGAGCCAGAGCUACCCUAUAAAGCUGUGGCAGAAUCCAGAUUUCAGUCUGGCACUCACAGAAGCUACACUGCCUCUCAAGCAAACCCUCAAAGGCUAUCCCUCAGAAGUUGCUCUUCGGGAAGUUUUAUUUUUUUAAAAUUUUCAUCUAAGAGUCUUAAAGCAUAGUUAUAAAAUUAAAAGCAUUGUAACAGUCCUUUCAGUUUCAGAACUGCAUUCAGAAGAGAUUUAAACAGUACAUCACAGUUUAUCAAAGGCAAGAAACAAAUGGUAAUGUGACUGGGGAGAAAAGAGGGAAGUGGGCAGAUGGGAUGGAUGGCAGUAGUUUCACAAUGGAAGAGGAUGGCUGAGUCCAGCUGGGAAACAGCCAGAUUACCUUACCAGUUAGAGCAGGCCAGAUGCAGCUCCAGGGGGCAGAGCAGGUGAAUGUUUGCUUGACUCAGCAAAAACCUCUACCAGUGUCAGCAAAAAAAUAAUGCUUGUUCCUUAACCUAAGCCACAUAUAUCAUUACCCAUAAAAAGAGAAGAAACUGGCAAUCAAUAUGUGCUUUCACCUGUCUACAGAUUUGAGCUGGGGUUGCUUUAGAAAGCCUUCACCUGCAAUCCUAAGUCAAAUUCCCAGGAAGAAGAGUGGAAAGCCAGAGAGAGUUCUGGUGAAAUAAGGGAGAAAAAAGCUGACAUCUGCAACAAGAUUCCUCUGCCCCUCCAAGAUGGCAAUCUCUGCUUAGUGGUUCCUUGCUUCUGGUUUGUGAUAAAACCAGUUGCUUGACUAUAUUCAGCCAUUUCUCCUGGCUCUGUAGGACCUGUUUCCAGUUCCUCUGCAUAGGAAGGCACUUGCUCAAAAAGAGUAUUUGGCUCUGAGAAGGAACCUUCCUGGAAGCUCAAGAGAGUCAGGGAUAAGAGUGGGGAGGACUAAAUGCAGACCAAAGACCAGUGUCUCCUAUACCAAAUCACAGCUGGGAGA
rnacentral:lncRNA from 1 species